GCGCGAAAACUGCACAGUGCUGGAAACAGCGAUGCGGGGAUUCCAAGUGCCAGCACAGAGUGUUGGCUGUUCCAUUGUCUAAAAAACAUAGGAAGUAAGGGCUGGGUAAGACGGGUGCCAGCCGCCGCGGUAAUACCUGCAGCCCGAGUGGUGGCCGUUAUUAUUGGGCCUAAAACGUCCGUAGCCUGUUUGGUAGAUGCCUGUGUAAAUCGAACGGCUUAACCGUUCGACCUGCGGGUAGACCGCCAGACUUGGGACCGGGAGAGUCACGAAGUACUCCGGGGGUAGAGGUGAAAUUCUGUAAUCCUCGGGGGACUACCGGUGGCGAAGGCGUCGUGAUAGAACGGCUCCGACGGUGAGGGACGAAGCCCUGGGGCGCAAACCGG
rnacentral:rRNA from 1 species